AGAGUUUGAUCCUGGCUCAGAUUGAACGCUGGCGGCGUGCUUAACACAUGCAAGUCGAACGAGAAAGGGACUUCGGUCCUGAGUAGAGCGGCGAACGGGUGAGUAACGCGUUGGUAGCUACCCCUUACUCGGGGAUAACCCAGAGAAAUUUGGGCUAAUACCGGAUGGUCCCGCAAGGGUAAAGAUUUAUCGGUAAGGGAGGCGCCUGCGUAGUAUCAGCUUGUUGGUGAGGUAACGGCUCACCAAGGCUAUGACGCUUAGCUGGAUUGAGAGAUUGACCAGCCACACUGGGACUGAGACACGGCCCAGACUCCUACGGGAGGCAGCAGUAAAGAAUCUUCCACAAUGGGCGAAAGCCUGAUGGAGCAACACCGCGUGAUUGAUGACGCCCUUCGGGGUGUAAAGAUCUUUUCUGGGGGAAGAAUUCUGACGGUACCCUAGGAAUAAGCACCGGCUAAACUCGUGCCAGCAGCCGCGGUAA
rnacentral:rRNA from 1 species